AUUGAACGCUGGCGGCAUGCCUUACACAUGCAAGUCGAACGGCAGCACGGGUGCUUGCCCCUGGUGGCGAGUGGCGAACGGGUGAGUAAUACAUCGGAACAUGUCCUGUAGUGGGGGAUAGCCCGGCGAAAGCCGGAUUAAUACCGCAUACGAUCUACGGAUGAAAGCGGGGGACCUUCGGGCCUCGCGCUAUAGGGUUGGCCGAUGGCUGAUUAGCUAGUUGGUGGGGUAAAGGCCUACCAAGGCGACGAUCAGUAGCUGGUCUGAGAGGACGACCAGCCACACUGGGACUGAGACACGGCCCAGACUCCUACGGGAGGCAGCAGUGGGGAAUUUUGGACAAGGGGCGAAAGCCUGAUCCAGCAAUGCCGCGUGUGUGAAGAAGGCCUUCGGGUUGUAAAGCACUUUUGUCCGGAAAGAAAUCCUUGGCCCUAAGACGGUCGGGGGAGGACGGUACCGGAAGAAUAAGCACCGGCUAACUACGU
rnacentral:rRNA from 1 species